rnacentral:rRNA from 1 species
UACGGGGGGGGCAAGCGUUGUUCGGAAUUACUGGGCGUAAAGGGCUCGUAGGCGGCCAACUAAGUCAGACGUGAAAUCCCUCGGCUUAACCGGGGAACUGCGUCUGAUACUGGAUGGCUUGAGUUUGGGAGAGGGAUGCGGAAUUCCAGGUGUAGCGGUGAAAUGCGUAGAUAUCUGGAGGAACACCGGUGGCGAAGGCGGCAUCCUGGACCGGCAUUGACGCUGAACAGCGAAAGCUAGGGGAGCAAACGGG